GGGCGCCUGGGUGGCUCAGUCGGUUAAAUGCUGACUUAGGCUCAGGUCAUGAUCUCACGGUUUGUGGGUUCAAGCCCUCCGUCAGGCUCUGUGCUGACAGCUCAGAGCCUGGAGCCUGCUUGGGAUUCUGUGUCUCCCUCCCUCCUGCCCUUCCCCCAUUCACACUCUGUCUCUCUCUCUUUCUCUCAAAAAUAAAAUAAACAUUAAAAAAAAUUUUUUUAAAGGUCAAACCAUAAAACUCUUCCUUUCUUUCUAGAUGAACUUUUCCAUAUUAAACACUACAAAUACUGAGAAUCAUUAGUCACAUUUUAUUUUGUCCUUUCUUUCUUAAAAGAAAAGAACUGACUUCCACAUCAAAGUCUUGGCUGUUCCUCACCUCCGUGACCACCUCUGCCUAUCCCUCCAACAUCUGGGCUCUAGGAUAAGAACUUCACUCAAACCAUCAGAAAGUGGUGAUAUUUUCCUUGUAAGUAUUCAAAGAAGAAAAUCUAGAAGCUUGUUGAGAUGUCCAGGUUUUUCAACAUCCUUAGAGUCAAGAGGCUUAAGACUUAACGUCUCAGAGGCAGCCUGGCACAGAAGUAACAAAAAUCUUUCCAGAAAUCCUAAAAGGUGCAAGUCAUUCAAAAGGUGCUCCAAAAUCUUCUCGGGGGUCCCGGACACGACCACGUAUCUGUCAGAGAGCAGAGAGUCCACGGAGUCAUCCUCGGUGGAAGACUGCGAGCGGCUGCUCCAUUCAUCGUCCUCAUCCUCCUCGUCAAUGUAUUUGAAAUAAGGCACAUCGAAGGGUGGUCCUGGUCAUUCCUCUUUCUUGAGAUUAUCAUGAUUCUGGAUGUCCCAGGUUCCUGUCCUUACCAGCCCUGCCUCCUGCCAUGACUGGGAGAAGACGCAGCCAGAAGCCAUCAGACUUGAGUCCACUCUAGCCCAGCUGUCACAUCACACUUCACCUCUGCUGUAACAGAGAAUCCUGUUUCCCUGGGUGUAAAUUCUUCUUCUAACUUCUGUGUGUCUCUCUGGAGAUUAUCAACACUGUCUCCUUAUAUCUCAGUUACCUGUGUCAUUGUCUUCUCUCUACAACCUGACUGUACUUCUUCAGGGUAGAAGCCACCAUAGUUAUUCUGAAUCCCCUAGGACACCGGCUUUAAUAAAGGUAUAUGGAAUGAAUAAAUGAUCAAGAGGAUUCUAAAAUAACAGCUUAGUAAUGCCAACUCAGAUUACAUGGGUCAAGAGAGCAUCCCUAAAAUCACAGGUAAUUCUGAACAAGGCGCACACAUCAU